AUUGUUGCUUGACCCCCUCGGUCCGUAGUUCUGUCUUUGUCCGUAUGUACUUAGUUCGUCGCCUCUUUUUUCAAGGAUGGUCGAAUACAGCAGUCCAGUGUAUGGCUGGCGUACAGCAGUCAUGCAGAGUUUUGGUUGUCUAUAUCUCACAGCUAGAGUCACACCGCGGACACGCGCUGCUUCUCGAGAUCACUGUGUGCACGUGUAGUCCUACCCGAGAAGCCGUGCCCGAGAACUGUCGACGUGUUUCUGUACAUUCUUUGUCUCCCCUCAACUCGCGUUGCUCUGCCUGCGAACUUGACGAGCGACGCGAGUGAGGGCUGGGAGAAAAUCUCUGCGGUUCCCGCGAAAGAGGAAGACUGAGUAGACUCAGAGGUCCCCGCUGUUGUCGAGGCGCUCAGCGCAACCUCACAGAGACACAACUCUCCGUUACUUUCGUGAUCCUUUCCCUCACUCAUGUCUUUUUCAACGUCUACUUGCCAAUUGGUAGAAUGGACAUCCGUCGCUGUGAGUGGCUGGGAAGAUUUUACUUUCUUAUGGGUUUCGGCUGUCUUCGACGGACUCGACUUGCUGCCGUCAUGUGUAAUCGUGGCAUGCGAGAAAGUACAGACACGUUCGGGUCCAUGGAGCAAAUCGGAGGCUUUCUGUUUUGGAUGCGCCAGGUGCGAAGACGAACUCCGACGCGGUGCUGGCACAUGGCAGAGAGGAAGCAGCGUGGAACUCGAGGAUGUAUACAAACAGGCAGCGAUGGGCACAUUCGAAGACGAUGGUGGCAGUCGCUUGGCUUUUAUCGCAUGCUCCAGGAGUGUCGCGUUGCCUGUCUUCUCCCAGGUUGUCUUGACAUCUUCUGAGUCUCCCUGGUCCUCUGUUCCUGAGAAAUGGAGAGCUGCGUCUGUGCUUCGUUCUGUGUUGUUGAGUCUGUGAAUUUGGCAGCUGGCAGAAAAUAAGAGCGUGUUGCCGGCAGCCGGGAGGCACCCGUUCUGGGACAUUUCUUUCAAGAUCCUGGAAACCUCCGGAGGCUGAAUAGAGAAGGGUCCUUCCCUUGAUACGCAGAGCGCGUUCGUUCUGGAAGGGAUAGGAAACCAAACAACUUCUCCCCCCGACAGGACACGGUACAAGAGUCCACCGGCACUUUUCGGCAUAAGAGCUUUCGCAAUCGUUCUGUCUCCGUGAUGGGGGAUUCGCCAGAGGGUCACGACAGUGCGUUCAGCUGGGAAGGCGACGUCCUCCCUUUCUGGAUCUCUCCUCGUCUCCGGCUUCCUCAGAGUGUCUGAACAUUUGGAGUCGAACUUUAGCGGCAGGUCAGGCACUCCGGGAAAUCCUUGAUCAAGCACUUUCCUCAGCCCGUUGUCUCUGCCUCUCGCAGUGCCUUUUGAGGCCUUUAGACGGUUCUCCGUUGUUUUGUCUGACUUUUCGAAUUCCCUUCGGAACACAGCCCCGUUGUCGGCCCUCUCUGGAGGCGAGGGGGAUGAUGCCGGGGGUUGUUUGCGCUGGGUGUGCAAGACUCGCUUUUCUCUGUCCCUCUGGAGGCAGAGCGAGUGCACCGCCUGGUAAACUUGCGGGUUUUCCUGAAAAAGCCAUUGUUUGGCUUCUCUUUCUUCACUUGCCGAGUCGCGUUUCUUCCCUUUGCUGGCGUCUUUCUUCUCUACGCAUUUGCGGUAAACUAAAGCACCGCCUGGUGUUCUAGACUGACUUGGGAGACUAGAGGCGUUCUUUGGGUCCGCAUGUUUCUUGCUGUUACACUGUGGCUUCUGGGCUGACGACAGUGGCGUUUUUGGUGGAGCGAAGGUCGUCUUGCGAGACGAAGUUGUUUCUGGGCAGUAAAGGGAAUUGCAGUGCAGGGACUGCUCUCGGCGUCGGACACUCGCUAGCCAGUCCAGCGCUGAAGAAGCUUCUGGACUGGAGCUCGCAAUGAUGUCAUCCAUUUCCCCCUAAAAGAACAGUUCC
rnacentral:lncRNA from 1 species